AUGGAACGCUGGCGGCAGGCUGAACACAUGCAAGUCGAACGAGUGGCGGACGGGUGAGUAAUGCUUGGGAAUCUGGCUGAUGGAGGGGGAUAACGACGGGAAACUGACGCUAAUACCGCGUACCAUAGGAUGAGCCCAAGGGGGAUUAGGUAGUUGGUGUGGUAAUGGCCUACCAAGCCGACGAUCUCUAUAUGGUCUGAGAGGAUGACCAGCCACACCAGGACUGUGACACGGCCCGGACUCCUCCGGCAGGCAGCAGUGGGGAAUAUUGCGCAAGGGGGGCACCCUGACGCAGCCAUGCCGCGUGAAUGAAGAAGGCCUUCGGGUUGUAAAGUUCUUUCGGUGACGAGGCGUUAAUCACAGAAGAAGCACCGGCUAGCUCCGUGCCAGCCGCCGCGGUAAUAC
rnacentral:rRNA from 1 species